rnacentral:rRNA from 1 species
GAUGAACGCUAGCGGAAGGCUUAAUACAUGCAAGUCGAGCGGUAGGUGGCUUCGGCCAUUGAGAGCGGCGCACGGGUGAGUAACGCGUACAUGACCUGCCUGUCAGAAGGGGGUAGCCCUGGGAAACUGGGAUUAAUACCCUAUGGUAUUGAUAUUAUGAAUGAUAUCAAUUAAAGUUGAGGCGCUGACAGAUGGAUGUGCGUCUGAUUAGCUAGUUGGUAGGGUAACGGCCUACCAAGGCGACGAUCAGUAGGGGGCGGUGAGAGCGUGGUCCCCCACACGGGUACUGAGACACGGACCCGACUCCUACGGGAGGCAGCAGUAAGGAAUAUUGGACAAUGGCCGAAAGGCUGAUCCAGCCAUCCAGCGUGCAGGAAGAAGGCCCUAUGGGUUGUAAACUGCUUUUAUCAGGGAAUAAACCUCUGGAUUCACUCCGGAGCUGAAGGUACCUGAAGAAUAAGCACCGGCUAAACUCCGUGCCAGCAGCCGCGGU